rnacentral:rRNA from 1 species
UUUUACGGAGAGUUUGAUCCUGGCUCAGGAUGAACGCUGGCGGCGUGCUUAACACAUGCAAGUCGAACGGUGAACACGGAGCUUGCUCUGUGGGAUCAGUGGCGAACGGGUGAGUAACACGUGAGCAACCUGCCCCUGACUCUGGGAUAAGCGCUGGAAACGGCGU